rnacentral:lncRNA from 1 species
AACUAAAUAGCUGUAAUAAAGUAAUUUAUCUAUUCCUGCUAUGUUUUACUAUAGACCCUGGUUAAAAACAAAUGUACAUUUGGAAGGCCUGGUUGCCUCCUAAAUCACGAAAAUGAGAAAUUCUACUGGAUAAUAAAUACUGCAAAUUAAUACAGCAUUUUUUAUAAUUGUUCAACAAUUUCAAAGGAGGUCAUCAUUUUCUUUUAUUGUCACUGGCACCAAAGUAGGGCACUUUUGUAACAAUAUAACCUCAAUGCUUGCCUAGUCAGGGUUGGAAAGCCCCUGGAGACUUUCCUUAGGUAUUCUGUUUGAAGUUGUAAAUCUAGAUUUGAACUGUUCUAAGGCAACUUUGUGUUGCUUCGUUAGAGGAAGAGACUACAUCAGCCAGAUCUUCCUGAUCCAACAAUGUGAUUCAAGGACACGGUGGAAGACUUGAUCCAUUCAGUGGGCCCUGAGUUUCACUCCAGCCUCCUAGCAGGUUGUCUGCUUGCAAGGGAAAAUUUGCAACAAGGGCACACAACUGAUUUAUGUUUCCUAGCCUCCCCCAGUGGUAGGCUGUGUAAAGGACAUACUGUUGAUCAGUGUGGUGGGAUCACAGAGAUCCAGAUAUACAUUUAUGUAUAGCCGUACAUUCUUCAGCCUCCGUG